rnacentral:rRNA from 1 species
AACGAACGCUGGCGGCGUGCCUAACACAUGCAAGUCGAGCGAGAAAGCCCGCAAGGGUGAGUACAGCGGCGCACGGGUGAGUAACACGUGGGUAAUCUGCCCUGGAGUCCGGAAUAACUCGCCGAAAGGCGUGCUAAUGCCGGAUGAGACCACGGGGGCCUCGGCCCCUGCGGGAAAAGGUGGCCUCUGCAUGCAAGCUAUCACUUCAGGAUGAGCCCGCGGCCCAUCAGCUCGUUGGCGGGGUAACGGCCCACCAAGGCUACGACGGGUAGCUGGUCUGAGAGGACGAUCAGCCACACUGGAACUGAGACACGGUCCAGACUCCUACGGGAGGCAGCAGUGGGGAAUCUUGCGCAAUGGGCGAAAGCCUGACGCAGCAACGCCGCGUGUGUGAUGAAGGUCUUCGGAUCGUAAAGCACUGUCGGGAGGGACGAAUAAGGUGCCGGCUAACAUCCGGCGACGAUGACGGUACCUCCAAAGGAAGCACCGGCUAACUCUGUGCCAGCAGCCGCGGUAAUACAGAGGGUGCAAGCGUUGUUCGGAAUUAUUGGGCGUAAAGCGCGUGUAGGCGGCCCCGCAAGUCAGGUGUGAAAGCCCUCGGCUUAACCGAGGAAGUGCGCCUGAAACUACAGGGCUUGAGUACCGGAGAGGGUGGCGGAAUUCCCGGUGUAGAGGUGAAAUUCGUAGAUCUCGGGAGGAACACCAGUGGCGAAGGCGGCCACCUGGACGGCUACUGACGCUGAGACGCGAAAGCGUGGGGAGCAAACAGGAUUAGAUACCCUGGUAGUCCACGCUGUAAACGAUGAGCGCUAGGUGUUGUGGGUGUUGACCCCCGCAGUGCCGCAGCUAACGCAUUAAGCGCUCCGCCUGGGAAGUACGGCCGCAAGGCUAA